UUUAAUUGGAAAAAGUUUAUUAGCUGUAUUUGUAAGUCGUUCUUUUUCUUGUCAAUUAACUUUUUUUUCUUGAGAAUACGUUGCAGGUUGUAUCGCUUCUGCAUUUCGUGAAGAUGCCUCGGAAAGGUAGGAGAUCCCGGGCUCAAAAAGUUCGUUGGACAAAGUUAGACCUGACAGGACAGACGAGCAUCAGUAAAGGUGUUGCUCAGGUUUCUGAUGGACAGCAGAGCAAAGAUGGCAACAACACAUCUAGAAUUCUAUCCGUGCAGGCGUCUCAUUGCCAGAGUGAUGCAAGUUGCAGGAAGAUUUUGGAGACAAUAGCAGUCCUCUCCAACACUGGAUAUGAGUAUGCAAUAUACCAUCUAAAGCUAAGUGUUAAAAGAUGUCACUUCAGUCACUGUACUUCUGCACAUGAUAACCACAUUUAAAGGAAUAUUGUAAUCUAAUUUUGAUUUUGAUGUUUUUCAGGAACUGGCAAGUCAGAAUGUCUGAGAAGAUCAAGUGUGCUACAACACUGAUGGUGAUGAGCUGGAUACCAGCUUAUGUGCUAAUUUCUUUCAGACGGGACCAGAUGUGUUUGGAGUUGAGGACAAUGCUGAAGACUAAAAAAGCAAUGGAAGAAGCACAUUAAAGCACUGAGGGUGUCGAGCCUGUUUGCCAUGCCAGAUCCAGCGGCUAGAUGGCGGGAGAUGCUUCAUCAUACCCCUGAUUGCAUUGAAUCAUUUUAUUAAUCAAUCAAUGAUCAAUUAAUUAUAUUAAUAUAUUUAUAAAUGAUCUUAUUAUCAUAGUAAAUAAUUGGUCUCAAUUUAAUAUUUCAUAUAUUAGCUUAAAUAAGAAUGUUAUAUUAAUGUGUACGCCAUGCCAGAGGAGGAUGGGAUCCCCCUGAUGAGUCUGGUUCCUCUCAAGGUUUUUUAUCUCCUUAAGAGUUUUUUCCUUGCCACUGUCGCCACUGGCUUGCUCACUGGGGGUGUUGUGUCAAAUCCUUUGUGCCUCUCGGGUCCCUGCCUACCAGGGUUCCCUAAACAAUAGUUUCUGAGUCGAUUAAUAUAUUUUUUUAUUAAUUAAAUCAUAGAAACAAGGCUCCACAAUUAAUUUGAAAUAAAAGUGAAAUCAUGUUAUGGCUUAGCCACUUACGAUAAAGCAGUAAGCCCUGUGACGCCAUGAUUUACAGUGCUUUCAGAACUGCUAAGGGGCGUUGUUAAAAGCCCCUCUGGUUUUCUGAAAUCACAGGGCUUAUGCCUUUUAUAAAUACUUGAGCAGUAACAGAUGGAAUCAUGGACAGUAAUUGAGUAUUUUACAAUGGCUUUGAAUGCAACAUGCACAAGGUUCACUAUUUAUACAAUAAUUCAAACACUUUCACCAGUAUUCUGCCAAAAUAGAAACUUGAAGGAUUUCAAACAAAAAUUAGUAUUGUGUAAAAUAAGUUAACAAAUUCCCCUAGUAAAAUUUUAUUGCAACAGUAAAGUAUGUGAAAGUGGAGAAAUUAAAACAAAAAAUAGUAUUGUGUAAAACAAGUUGAUAUAUAAUUUUUGUGUAGUACACUUUUAUUAUUGCAGCAGUAAGUUAUUUGUUUUAUAUUUUCAUAAUCUUGUUAAUGCAGAUAUUAGAUCAUUUUAAUAUUAAGUUAAAAUAAUAUUUAAAUGUGAACUAGUAUGAUAUUAUAGGGUGGGAUUUGGCACAACAGGCGUUUUCUAAAUCUUUUAAUAAACAUUUUGGUUGAAUUAGUA